AUGCACGCUGGCGGCGUGCCUCAUACCUGCAAGUCGAGCGAACAGACGAGGAGCUUGCUCCUCUGACGUUAGCGGCGGACGGGUGAGUAACACGUGGAUAACCUACCUAUAAGACUGGGAUAACUUCGGGAAACCGGAGCUAAUACCGGAUAAUAUAUUGAACCGCAUGGUUCAAUAGUGAAAGACGGUUUUGCUGUCACUUAUAGAUGGAUCCGCGCCGCAUUAGCUAGUUGGUAAGGUAACGGCUUACCAAGGCAACGAUGCGUAGCCGACCUGGGAGGGGGGUCGGACAGCCUUGAACGGAGACACCGUCCAAACCCCCAACGGAGGACACAGGAGGGAAAUUUCCCAAAUGGGACGAAGCCUGACGGAGCAACGCCGCGUGAGUGAUGAAGGUCUUCGGAUCGUAAAACUCUGUUAUUAGGGAAGAACAAAUGUGUAAGUAACUAUGCACGUCUUGACGGUACCUAAUCAGAAAGCCACGGCUAACUACGUG
rnacentral:rRNA from 1 species